rnacentral:rRNA from 1 species
AACGAACGCUGGCGGCAGGCCUAACACAUGCAAGUCGAACGACAGCAUCGUGAUUGCUUGCGCAUACGGGCGUCGCGUGGCGGAAGGUGCCGGUAUGUAUCGAAUUCUACUCUUUAAUGGGUGCUAAUAUAGGGAAACUUACGCUAAUCCCGCAUACGACGUACGGGGGAGAGCAGGGGAUCUUCGGACCUUGUGGGAGGGAAUGAGCCGAGGUCGGAUUCGAUAGUUGGCGGGUGAAAGGGGCAACAAGGCGACAAUCGGUAGCGGGUAUGAGAGGGUGAUAAGACACACGGGAAGUGAGACACGGCCCAGACUCCUACGGGAGGCAGCAGUGGGGAAUAUUGCGCAAGGGGGGAAAGCCUGAUCCAGCAAUACCGCGUGAGUGAAGAAGGCGUUCGGGUUGGAAAGCGCUGUUGGUGGGAAAGAAGGACAGCAGGUUAACACCGCACGGUACUGACGGUACCGAAAGAAUAAGCACCGGCUAACUUCGUG